rnacentral:misc_RNA from 1 species
UCGCGGCUUAUCACCGGCAGUCCCCUUAGAGUGCCCAACUGAAUGAUGGCAACUAAGGGCGAGGGUUGCGCUCGUUGCGGGACUUAACCCAACAUCUCACGACACGAGCUGACGACAGCCAUGCAGCACCUGAACCACCGGCCCCUUGCGGGGAGGCCCCAUUUCUGGGGUUGUCCGAUGUUGCCUAGCCCAGGUAAGGUUCUUCGCGUUGCGUCGAAUUAAACCACAUGCUCCACCGCUUGUGCGGGCCCCCGUCAAUUCCUUUGAGUUUCAGCCUUGCGGCCGUACUCCCCAGGCGGGGCACUUACUGCGUUAGCGACGGCACCGGGAGGGUCACUCCCCCCGACGCCUAGUGCCCAUCGUUUACGGCGUGGACUAC